rnacentral:lncRNA from 1 species
UGCCUGUAAAGCUAGAGGUUGUUCAAUGGUGGUAUUUUAAAGUUGAGUCACUUUAGGGUGUGGGGAUCUUCAGAUGCAAAGGGGUUAUUUCAAGUGAAAGUAAACUACCUGCACGAAGAAGCCUGGCAACCAGCUGAAUGAUUUAAUUACAUGCCAUCUUAAUUUAAAGAGAUUUGCAUGCUCAUGAGGUCAGCUGGACAGUUACCUUGUGAUGUGUACCUGGAAAUUACUUUUUAACUGGAUAAGGUCAAUUAAUUUCACACCACGAACGGGUGAACAGUAUUUCUCUUUUUUGUUCAACAUUUUUGGUUCUUUUACUUCUUUUUCUCUUUUCUCUAAUCCCAUGAUAUUAUUUUCUCCUACUUCUUAAUGAAAAAAAAAAUCACCUUCUACCUUUUUCCUCUGAAAUAAUUAUGAAAGUCUAGGCUAGAGCAUAGUUUUCCAGAAUAUCAUGCCAAAGAACUAAAUCUUCAGUAUGUCCUUAAGUUAUAUUUGAAAAAAGGGCUCCGAGGUCAUAUAUCACAACACAUUUAUUCCCAGAUACAAACAGUUUUGAAUAUUAACAUCUCUCAUGUCUUAUAUUUGUCUCUUAUACAUGGCCUUUCCCAUCCUUCCUUUCUUGUUCCCUCCUCGUUUCUGUGGUGUGGCUGUCCCCAGGACAUCCUGGACAGAUUCCACCACCCUGGUCAUUGCCAGGUCUUUCCAGCAGCCCGCACCUUGCCUUCUCUGAGUGGGUGACCCUUGAAAAGCAUAGAAGAGCUUUGGAGCCUUGGCUGUUUCAGCUCAUCACUAGAGCUGAAACCUUAACUCAGGUGUGAAAGAUGGAUCUGGAUGUUUUCCCAAACCUGAAGCCCCUUUGAAUCCCCUAUAAAGUGCUAUAGAGGUGACAAAGACAGAUGGGCUUCCCUUGGGAGUAUAUAUCCCAGUGGGAGAUAAGAAAAGGUAAGCAAAGAUGUUGCCCCAAAGCAGGGUGGGAUGAGGGCUAUUUGGUGAGAUAAAGGAACCUAUUUUCUCACGUU